UUUGAUGGACCUAGAUAGAAAAAGGACUGAAACUCAUGAGAACUCACGUAUCGAGAAAUGCGCAUCCGACUACCGAUAGGAUCCCAACACCAAUAGCCCUUGUGCUCAUCAUUAGACUCUAGGAAGACGCAUUCAGCAGGCUGAGCAGUCAGUUUGGGUUGUUCACAAAGGCAAGAAGAACGUCAGAAACACAAUAGAACAAACGAAGCGUCGAGUAGUCACGAGAACAACCAAAAAGACGCCUGAGAGGAAUCUCACCGCAGAGGAAGGAUGAAUGUUGGUGAGAUAGGUCGAAGUAGAAAUAACCUCAACCCAAAAGUGUGGCGGAAGAGAGGCGAUGACCAUCAACGCACCAGCUUCUUAAGGUGACGAUGCUUGCGCUCAGCAACACCAUUUGGAGAAUGAGCACCAGGGCAAGACAACUGAGCUAGUGUGCCCUGCUUAGCAAGGAAUCCGCGCAACAAAUGAGAGAUAUACUCACGAGCAGAAUUUGCAUGGAAGACACAAAUAAUACGAGUGAAGAAAAUUGGGUAUGAACCCUGGCGACAAACUUAAAAUAUAUCCAUGCGCGUCGAGAGAAAUUGUCUAUAAAGGUAGUAUAGUAGAGAUGGUCGACUUUCGAGGCAAAAGAAGUUGGGCCCCAAAUAUCGGAGUAGAGAUUGAAUUGAACCUAUUUACCAAGUCAACAAACUUGCCAAUCUAAAGACACAUCGCCAGUCUAAAGACACAUUGCCAGUCUAAAGACACAUCGCUAGAGAUAGAUCCAGUAAGACCAUGUCAAACCAAGGAUGGGUGAAGAGAGCCACACAAGUGAAACAAAAUGAUGAUGCCACCUAGAAGCGCUAGACGAGAUACUAGAUGCGGAGAGAUUGGCGGCGAUGGCAACAGAGUGAAGGUGAAGCCAGCCAAGAUUGGAAGGACGCGAAGAUAGUCUCGCUAGGAGGAUGAGCUAACUGAACUUGUUACCAAGUCAACAAAGUUGACAGUCUAAAGACACAUUGCCAAAGAUAGAUCCAAGAAGACCACGUCGGUUUCUUUCCAUAUUUGGGGACUUUUUCAAAUUUGUAAACUUUUUUCAAAUCCAUGACCUUUUUUUCCUUCCAAAUUCACGAACUUAAGGAAUUCAUGUUUGAAAGCCAUAGGAAGGGCACAAACUCACGAACUUUAUUCCUUCCAAAUUCACGAAUUUCCAAAUUCACGGUGGCGCCUAAGCAUUUGGCUAUUGUGGCGUCCAUCAAUGGAACACAUACGUGGUAUCAAGGGCACAAAGCAACCCGUGGCUAGGCAAAGGAUGCCCAAUUGGACUGGCUAGGAGCAGAGAGUGCAUGGGAGGUGUGAGGGAAGAGGGCACUAGGAGGAGAAAGACAUUCUUGACAUCCAGUUGAGAGACAUACCAACGGCAAACAGAAGCCACGACGAGAAUCGUGCAAAGAGUGGUCAUGUGGGCCAUAGGAGCAAAUGUCUCAUCGUGGUCAUGACCAUGUUUCUGCUGAAAGCCAUAGGCCAAAAUACGAGCUUUGUAACGCUCAAGAGAACCAUCAAUCUUAACCUUAUAGACCCACUUACAAGUGAUGGGACAAACAUACGGAGGAACGAAAAUGAGAUCCCAUGUGAUGGUGCGCUCAAGAGUAGCAUUCUCCUCUGCCAUCGCAUGCUACCGUUCCGGAUGAACAAUGGCGUCACGCUAAGAAGUCGUCUUGAGAAGAGCAGCACAGAAUAACCAUAUUGGUCAUACGUAGGUUGAGCGCGAAGCCAUACAUAGGUUGUGCUGGAGGUGGUGAAGCCGCGGGUGAUGAUGGCGUGGGUCUACAACACUAGUACAAGAAGAAACAGUGGGAUGGGUGGAUGAGGGCAAUACAUGAGUUAUAGGUGUAUCAUGGAUAUUGAGUAAAGAAAUAUCUUCAUCAAAAGUCACUCAUUGAGAAAUGCACAUCCGACUAAUGAUAGCCCUUGUGCUCAUAAUUGUAUCCUAAUAAGACACAUUCAACAGACUUAGUAGUCAGUUUUGGUGUGUUCACAUGUAGCAAUAAGAAUGUAGCAACCACAACGAAACAAGUGAUAAAGCGAAGAUAUCGUAGAACACGGAGGAGGUGACUAGCGGGUCGAAGCGGGAGUGCAGACAAACUGACUUAGAAUUUGACGGGAUAUGAAAUGUCUGGGCGAGUGACAUCUAAAUAGACAAGACCGUCAACAAGAUGACAAUAGUAGAGCAGAUCAAACAAAGCCUCACUGUUAGAAGUACAGAGGUGGAUGAUGGGGUCCAUAGGAGUCUCUUGAAAAGAAAGAAGAAACCUCAAUCCCAGUGAAGUAGCGAAGAAGACCAAGAUCAGGCAUAAGAAACUACUCGGUAAGACAAGCCUUCCCAGAGGCAGUGUACUCAAAGUCGUCGUGUGUGAUGAUCAUGUCAUCGACAUAUAGAAGAUUUUGACCAUGAGCGAAAGGUGGAUAUAAAUUGCAGAUCAUGAGCACUCGACAAAACCGAUUGUAGUCACCACAGAGACGAAACAUUGAAACCAGGCAUGAGUUCGCUCAAGGCCAUAAACAGGGCAACGAAGAUAACAGAUCAUGCCAUCAGGAACAUGACACCCAUGUGGAGGCUACAAGUAGGCCGUCUCAUGCAACUCACCAUUAAGAAAUGCAUUUUUGACAUCAGCUCAGACAAACCAGUGGUAAACGGAAGCCACAACAAGAAGUGUGCGAAGAGUGGUCAUUUGGGGCAUAGGAGCAAAUGUCUCAUCAGUCACGACCAUGUCCUGCUUAAAGCCACGAACCACGCUACGAGCUCUGUAAUGCUCAAGAGAACCAUCAGCGUCUUAACCUUGCAAACCCACUUAGUGAUGGGAUGAGCACGAGGAGCAAGGGAAAUGAAAUCUCACGUGUUGAGAGAAAUUGUCUAUAAAAGUAGUAGUAGUGAUGGCCUCCUUUCGAGGCAAAGCGAGCCGAAUCCCAGAUAUUAGAGUGAACAAGCUUGAAAGGACGUCGAGACGCAGUCUCACUAUGAGGAUAAGCUAACUGAACCUGUUUACCAAGUCGACAAACACAUAGUCUAAAGACACAUCGCUAGAGAUAGAUACAGGAAGACAACGUCAAACUAAGGAUGGGAGACGAGAUACACACAAGCGACCCAAACGACGAUGCCAGAAAGAGCUGGUAGACGAGGUAAUAAAGGCGGAGAGAUUGGCGUCGACGGUAGUCGAGGGAAGGUGAAGCUAGUCAAGCUCCAAGAGGCCCUAGGAGUCACAACAUUGAGGUCCAGCACCAAGUGUACCCAUGUGAUGACCCUAAUCCUAACCCACUUGGCUCCCGGCUAAACAUCUGAUUUUUUUUCAAAUGCGUGAACCUUUUUCAAAAUUGCAAUUUUUUUUCCAAAUUCACGAAUUUCUUCCAGAAUUUGUGUGUGAACAUUUUUCGAGUUCCUAAACCUUUUUGACUUUGAUUUUUUUCCCAAUUUGUGAGCAUUUUUCACCACUUACCCACGCCAAACCUUAUUCAACGCUUAAGGCACCACAUUUUAUUUUUUGGUAGAAAGUGCACACCCUGUUCGACCUUCGGCCUUGGCCCAUUUACUUCUUCACACCGAACGCUCGUAUUUUUCUUCUUCGCAUGUUACAAUUUUAGGAAUCUUUUUGGGCUUUCUAGAAGGUGCCUACAUAUUCUGGGCCGUUUUCUGUGCUGUUUUUUACUUUUGUUUUGACCGAUUUUUAGUUUGGGGGGCAUGGGAGAGGAUGGCCGUGGAUAGAAAGGACGCGACUCAUUAGAAGUCACAUAUCGAGAAAUGCGCACUAGACUAUCGAUAGCCCUGGUACUCAUCGCCGUACCUAAGACGACACAUUCAACAGACUGAGUAGUCAUUUUGUUGCGUUCAUGAGGUGCAAGAACAUAUCAAACACGUUGAAUCACGUGAUACGUGUCCAAACGAAGAUAUCAUAGAACGCGGAGGAGGUGGCUAGUGGGUUGAAGCGGGAGCGUAGAGAAACUGACUUAGGCUAUGACGGGUUAUGAAAUGUUCGAACAAAUAGACAAGACUCCCAACAAGAUGACAGUAGUGCGCCAGAUCGGACAAAGCCUCACUGUUAGAAGCACAAAGGUGGAUGUUGAGGUCUAUAGGAGUCAUAACAGUGUGCUUAUUAGUAAGAGCAGCACGAGCAAGAAUAUCUUGGAUAUACUUCUCUUGGCAAAAUUAAGAAGCCAUUAGAGGUAGAAGAAACCUCAAUCCCAAGGAAGUAGUGAAAGGACCAAGAUUAGGCAUAAGAAACUACUUGGUAAGAUGAGCCUUCACAAAGGCAAUGUAGUCAGAGUCGUCACGAGUGAUGAUGAUGUCAUCGACAUAUAAAAGAUUCCGACCAUGAGUAGAAAGGUGGAUAUAAAUUGCAGAUCAUGAGCACUCACCAAAAACCAACCCCAGUCACCAUCGAGACGAAGCGCUCAAGCUAUGGGUUUGCUUAAGGUGAUAGUCAUGGCGACGAAGACAACAAAUCAUGCCAUCAGGAACAGGAUACCCAGGUGGAGGCUACAUGUAGACCGUCUCAUGCAACUUACCAUUAAGAAAGGCAUUUUUGACAUCAACUGAGAGAAAUCAGUGGUGAAUAGAAGCCACAACGAGAAGUGUGCAAAGAGUGGUCAUGUGGGGCAUAGGAACAAAUGUCUCAUCAUAGUCAUGGCCAUGUUCGUGCUUAAAGCCUCAUACCACAAUACGAGCUUUAAAACGCUCAAGAGAACCAUUAGAGUCUUAACCUUGCGACCCACUUAUAAGUGAUGGGACGAGCACGAUGAGAAAGGAAUUGUGUUCCUAUGUGUCGGUGCGCUCAAGAGCAGUAAUCUUCUGUGUCAUCACAUGUUUGCCAUUUAGGGUGAGCAACAACAUCAUGAUAAAAAGUCGUCUUGAGAAGAGCGGCACUAGAAUAACCAUAGUGGUUAAUAGGUGAAAGUGGCUGAGCGCGAAAGCCAUAAAUAGGGUGAGUUGGAGGUGGUGCAUGGCCAACAGAAGGAGACAUAGUAGUCGAGGGAGAUGGCUACUGAGAAGAUAUGAAGAAUCUUGAGGAGCUUUAGCCCGAUGAGGCACAUUUAGACCACAAUAUGAGCUUUGUAACGCUCAAGAGAAACAAUUAGAGUCUUAACCUUCUAGACCCACUUACAAGUGAUGGAACAGGCAUGGGGAGGAAGGGAAAUGUGAUCCCACGUGCUGAUGCGCUCAACAGUAGCAAUCUCCUGUGACAUCGCCGUUCAGGAUGAUCAACAACAUCACGAUAAGAAGUUGUCUUGAGAAAAUCGGCUCCAGAAUAACCAUAGUGGUCAAUAGGCGGAACCGGUCGAGCGCGGAAGCCGUAAACGGGGUGAGCUUGAGGUGGUGCAUGGCUAUUGGAAGGAGACAGUAGUCGGGGGAGAUGGCUAAUCCAAAGAACCAUUAGUCUUAAGAGAACCAUUACAAUCUUAACCUUGUAGACCCACUUACAAGUGAUGGGACGAGCACUGUGUUCCCACGUGUCGUGCGCUCAAAAGAAGCAAUCUCCUAUGCCAUCGCAUGUUGCCGUCCAGGAUGGGUAACAACGUACAAUAAGUGGUCUUGAGAAGAGCGACACCAGAAUAACCAUAGUGGUCAUUAGGCAGAACCGACCGAGCGCGAAAGCCAUAAAUAGGGUGAGUUGGAGGUGGUCCAUGGCCAACAGAAGGAGAUAUAAUAGUCGAGGGAGAUGGCUACUGAGAAGAAGAUAUGAAGAAUCUCGAGGAGCUUCAGCCCAAGGAGGAGGCACAUUCAGACCACAGUAUGAGCCUGUAAUGCUCAAGAGAAACCAUUAGAGUCUUAACCUUGUAGACCCACUUGCAAGUGAUUGGGUGGGCGCGGGGAGGAAGGGAAAUGUGAUCCCAUGUGCCGAUGCACUCGAGAGCAGCAAUCUCCUGUGCCAUCGCAUGCUGCCGUUUAGGAUGAGCAACAACGUCGCGAUAAGAAGUUUUGAGAAGAGCAACUCCAGAAUAACCAUAAUGGUCAUUAGGUGGGGACAACAGAGAACGGAAGCCAUAAAUAGGGUGAGCUGGAGGUGGUGCAUGGCUAAGGUAAGGAGACAUAGUAGUCGGGGGAGAUGGCUAAUCAAAAGGAGAUAUGAAUCUUGAGCUUCAGCCCCGAGCACAAUUCUUAAACACUUGCUCUAACCUUUCUUGCUUUGGAGCAUUGCUCUUGGAUAGCUCAGUGAGCUCUUUCAUCUGGGUGAGGAUGGUGAUCUAAGCUUCUUCAUGGGAAAAGCUUUUUGAUGAAGCCCUUGAGCAAGAAGGUAGUAGAUACAUUUUCUUCAUUACAAUCUACAACACACAAACGACCAGUGUAGUAAAGAAGAGGAUGAGGGGGAAUCGCCGGGGAAGCCUCAUGGGAUGGGCAAGGUGAGGUAGCCUUUGGCAACGAACAAAGUGGGGAAGCCACAAGUCAUGACGACGUGGGUCCUACAAUAGUAGUAUGGGAAGACAUGGUGGGAUGGGUGGACGAGGGUAAUACAUGAGUAAUAGGUGUAUCGAGGAAAUUGGGGAAAGAAAUAUCUUCAAUGGGGGAAGUAGAGCAUGGGCGUGGAUGGAAAGGACAACCAGAAAUGUGCAUUUGACUACCCAUUGCAUCCCAACGUCAAGGGCCCUUGUGCUCAUCGUUGGAACCUAAGUAGUUAGUUUGGUGCUUUCACUGGGCCAAGAAGUAGCAAACGCAAUGAAAGAAAGGAUAAAUGUCCAGACGACAAUAUCAUAACACAUGAAGGAGGUGAGUCUAGUGGGUUGAAGUGGGAGCACAAACAAACCGACUUAGAAUGUGAAGGAACAUGAAAUGUUCGAAUGCGUGACAUCUAAAUAGAGAAGACUCCCAGCAAGAUGACGAUAGCUCGUCAGAUUAGAAAAGGCUCAUCGUUAGAAGCACAAAGGUGGACGUUCAGGCCCAUAGGAGUCUCAACAGUGCGCUCAUCAACAAGAGCAGCAUGAGCAAGAAGAUCCUGGAUAUACUAAUCUCGCAAAAUAAAGAAGCCAUCUGAGGUAGAAACCUCAAUAAUCCCAAGAGAGUAGCGAAGAGGACCUCGAUCAGGCAUAAGAAACUACUCAGUAAGACGAGCCUUCACAAAGGCAAUGUACUCGGAGUCGUUGCAAGUGAUGAUCAUGUAAUCGACAUAUGAAAGAAGAGUCUGGCACUGGGCUGAAAGGUGGACAUAACGCGCAUGAUCAUGAGCACUCGCCAAAAACCAACUACAGUCACCAUCGAGACGAAAUGCUCAAGCCAUGCACGAUGGGUUUGCUUAAGGCUAUAGAGGAAGUGAGGAAGACAUCAUAUCAUGCCAUCAGGAUCAGAAUACCCUGGUGUUGGCUACAUUAAAAUAGACAUUCUUGACAUCAAGCUGAGAGACAGACCAAUGGCGAACAUAAGCCAUGGCGAGAAGUUUGUGAAGAGUGGUCAUCUGGACAAUAGGAGCAAAUGUCUCACCGUAGUCACAACCAUGUUCCUGAUGAAAGCCAAAGAUCACAAUACGAGCUUUGUAACGUUCAAGAGAACCAUCAAAGUCUUAACCUUGUAGACCAACUUACAAGUGAUGGGACGAGCACGGGGAUUAAGGGAAUUGAGAUCCCAUGUGCUGGUGCGCUCAAGAACAACAAUCUCUGCCAUCGCAUGCUGCCGUUCGGGAUGAACAACUACUCGAUAAGUCGUCUCGAGAAGAGCCGUGAUAGAAUCUUAUGUCUACUAAUUGGAGGCACCAUACGAGCCUUCAGGUUAACCCUCGCGCAAGAUCGAAAGUAGUGUCUGAACAGGCCAAAAUUCAUUGCUAGCCUUCUGAUUAGCUACCAGAUACUGGCACACCACGCGGUUGUUCCUGCGUCUCACCUAAAGCCUCGAGGCCGCCAUCAAAGCAAUCUACUGACCCCCUCUUCCAAUUUGAUACGGCUCUCGACGCCUCAUAUCGUUGCAGGUCACAAAGACACUGUGCAUCCGAAGAGUCUUCGUGUUAUCGGUACGCAUAUCUACUGCAGUUGCACUAUCUACAUUGACCAACCAUCUCCCUUGCCAUUGCCCGCACUGUCGGCUGAUGCCUCUGGACAAGGACCGACGCACACUGCGACAUCUACUUUAAGUUGCAUCCCUAUGUUGUUGUGGCUACCUUCCUCUCCUCAUUAGUGGGAUGUUGCCUUCUAGUUGCUCCCUACUGCUAAAAUAAUGGCGAGGUUGAGGCCCAUGGUCAUGGGAGAUGAUACGGUUAGUGGUGACCGUGAAGGGUUGAUUGGUGUAACUCUCUUCAUACUCCAUUGAUGUCCCUUGCUCUUGCUGUGUGAUGUGAGAUCGGCAAUCUUCUCUCUCUAUGCGAAUUUGCUGGGAGUUGCAUGUCCUUAGAUUCGUUCUACUCAUGUUGAUGCAAAACAAGCAAUCAAGCUGUAGGGGUGCACAUCAUUCAUAUGUUGGACCAAAUGCCGCAACAAAAUUGGUCAAAGUCAAACGAAACUAGCUGCCCAUGAUGGCAUCGACAAGAGUCGUGGUCUUCACCAGAUCACUCACUCCAACUUGCAUUAGGUUGUGUGCAGUUUGCUUCAUCAUCAACCAUGUUAUUUUCAUUAAAGUUAAGCUUGGAAAGGGCAACUUAGUCUGUAGUGCUUACUGUGGUAGUCAAGUAUCUAGAGUACCAUGUUCUGAAAACACACACAUGAUGCUUCAAGCUAUCCAUACACUAAGAUUGCAACAUAAUACCUAUGCUUGGGCUUUGCGACAAAGAUGCCAAAUUGGCCUGUACUGGCUCAUUAUUAUGCUGCAAGGGAAUGCACUUUCGACAAAUUGUUGUUUGCAGUACCCCUUUUUGUCAGUUAGCUUGCGACCAUUAGGAAUUGAUUCUAACUUGCUAGGGGUUGGUCCUAGAGAAUAACUUUUUUCUAGAUCAGGUUACAAUGUUAAAAUGUAUGCCGAGGCAACUCCUUGCAGCAAGGAAGAACGGAAAACAUGCUUUCUAUCUUCACCAACAUCGUCUUCUACUCGUAAUUGUUAGCUCUUUUUCAUGGAAGUUCUGAAACAAAAUGAGCUGGCCUAAAAUCAAGGAUCAAUAUCCAGGUUUGCCUUUGAAAUCUUAUUUGAGAAAAGAAUUUCAUAGAAGAUAAGUAGAAUACAUCUAAACUUAAUGUAAGGAGUCCCAAAACUAGCAUAAAGAGUUAACAAUUCCAUUUUCUCCUGCUCCCUCCAUCCCAAAUUACUUAUCUUAGAUUUGCCUAGAUACAAAUAAAUGUAUCUAACACUAAAACGUAAUUUGGGACGGAGGUAGUACUUAUGUGAUCCUCAUCGGACCUCAUGAAAGGCUCCAACUGAUUUUUGUAUUAAAUGUUAAUAGGGGGGUGGAUAGUAAUGUACAGAGAUGUGAAUUACAUAGGGAAAGGGUGUGUGUCAGUAGUCUAGUAAUCUAAGGAAGAGAGAGGGAGAGGGAAGUACAAACAGGGAGAGCAAGUAGGGCACUAACAAGCAUUAGAGUAGCAACAAAGGAUAGAAUGAAGGGCUCAAGCCUCUGCUUUACCCUAUUGGCCAACAUAGCAACCUUUUUAAAUCUGGAAAGCCAUGAGUUGCGUGAUGGAGGCACACCUUGAAAAAGCUUUUGAUUUUGUUCCUUCCAAAUCCCCCAAGCAGCUACAACAAAGACCUCCAUAACAUCAACGCCACAUGAACCAUAUGCAAUCUGCAGCCGCUGUCAGGCCAAACAAUACCCAAGGCAUUCCAGCACUAAACACUGAAUGGGCAUUUGAAGAAAAGGUGUGCCAGGCAUUCCUCCGAGGGAUUAUGGCAUAAGAGGCGGCUAUAAUCAUCAUUAUCAAUCUUGUAGUGCCUCCUGCACAACAUAUUUCUUGUAUUUAGACAAUCAGGUAGAAGGAGCCAAGGAAACAUCUUCCACUCAAUAGUGCAUGUGGUUCUCCAUAUUCAACGGGAUGCAUCAUCCACCUGCACAUCUCUAAAACAAUAGGUGUAGAAUUUGCUGGUCUUAAACUCUUUCACCCAUAUUAGGCACUCAACCAAGUGUCAAUGACAUUCGACGCACGGUCAUCCUAAUGAGUUGCAAGUCUUUGACUUCCUCGUGAGCCUCAGUGGACAAGGGUAGUAGAUAGGAUGCGAGGCUAUUGUUAUCUUGUCAGAGAUCUUUCCAAAAAAGUACCGUUUUGCUAUCCCCUACAGCGACUUUUAUCACACCCCCGUAGAUAUCCGACAACUGAAGGAUGUCCCUCCACUAGAAGGAUCCACAUAUCAGAGGAGUGUGGGAUCUUGUUAGUAUAAUAUGUAGACCAAAUUAACUGCACCCACGGGAUAUCCUCACUACUAUAGAAAUUAUGCAACUGUUUGAGCAACAAACCGUGAUUUUGCACCUUGAAGUUUGUAACAUAGAGUCCACCUCUGUCUUUUGGGCGACAAACCAUGUCCCAGGUAGCGAGUGAGUUCCCCUUGACUCCAUCCUCAGUUUUUACGCCAUAGACGGUACCUACGUAGUUUAUCAAGAUGUUCAAUGAUCUCGGGGUGUACCUUCAUUGAGCACAUCGCAUAGAUGGCCAAAGAUGUAAGCAUGGAGUUAACCAGCGUAAGUUUUGAACCAUAGUCAAGUAGGGAAGUAGCCGUGUGCAAUCUUCUCUGAAUAGAAGAAACUAGUAGCAUAAGAUCCAUGACGGAAGGGGCGGUGGUGCCCAAAGGCAACCCUAGGUACGUAAACGACAUUUCUCCCACCACACACUGAAAGAUCCGGGCCAAAACAAAUGUUUUCUGCAUGAUCCAAAUUGAUUGGCACCAUAGUUGAUUUAUGAAAAUUAAUGCACAACCCAACAUAAGUUGCAUAGUCCGGCAGAAUAAGUUUCAUUUGCUCAGCUUGACGCUGGUAGGCCGACAUGACCACCAUGGUGUCAUCGGCGUACUGAAUCACCGGAGUCAUUAUUACAGGUUGGAAUUGGGAGCUGAAUUAGAUUUCUGGCAUGUGCAUCGUUGAUGGCUGAUUGCAGAAGAUCCGCAACUAGAACAAAGAUCAACAACGACAAGGGUUCACCCUGUCUGACCCCAUGCUUGCAGGAGAACUGUCGGCCUGCCAAUCCAUUGACAACUCAACCGAGCUUCCUAAAGAAAAGAUACAACCAAUCCAUUGCAGUCACUUAUCGUUGAAACACAUGUUCCCCAUGAUUUGAAUCAUUGGUUCAUGCUCGAUCGUGUCGAAUGCCUUGGCAAAAUCCAACUUCAAGAGAAAGCAAGCAUGACGUGACACCUGACACUGGUGGAGGUAUUCGAAAGCCCAUGCCAAGCAGUGUUGGAUGGACCUACCCUUGAAGAACCUGUACAAAUUACGAUGGAUGAUGUGAAUGAUAAGUUUCUGCAGGCGGUUAGCUAGGAGUUUAGUGAUCAACUUCUGACAAAAGUUUAGAAGAGAUUGGGCGAUAAUCAUUUGUUGUCUGAGGUGACAGAACUUUGGGGAUGAGAUUGAUAAAGCCGGAGUUAAGGCUACUCAAAUCUAAAUUCCCUUAAUACAAAUCCAUGCAAACCUUUUAUAACUCCUCUUUGAUGAUGUGCCGACAUGAUUUUAAGGAGCAACCGUUAAAUCCAUCGGGCAUAGGUGCACGGUCAGUCGGCAUGUCCCUCACAACCCGAUCAAUUACCUCACUUGUGAAACAAACUGUUAGCUCCUCGAGGCCAUCCACACGUUUGUGAUAGACGACAGGUCAAACUUCAUGUCCACAGGGUUAGACUUGCCAAGUCUCUCUUUAUAUGUUUGGAACAAGAUCGCCUCUUUGCUCGAUAGCUGUAAAAUGGAAGAACUUGGUGUUAACACUACCGCCAUGAAACCAUCUGAUUGUGUACCUCUUUUUUCAAUACUCCUGUUUAUAUUUUAGCAGAGUCAAGAGUGCGUUUUGAGGAUGAGACGGAAGUUACUUUCAAGUACCGAGAGCGAACGCUUAUCCUCGAUAGCAUUCAGCUGAGAGAGGGCCCAAUCACAGUUAUCAAUGUAGGUGUUCAGACGAGAGAUAGUUUUGCUUGACUGGCCUACAAGCUCUUUUUGGUAGUGGCAUCAUCACCUUUGUCAUCUGUGUGGCUCUCAUCUCUCAUCCUUAGUUUGACGUGGCCUUCUUGGACCCGUCUCCGGCGGUGUGUCUUUAGACUAUUGGGGUUGUUGAUGGCACAUCUGUCGAGUGUGAUUCCUUAGUAUAGUGAUGAGCACAAGGACUAUUGUUGUUGUGAUCAUGUUGGUCGUCGGAUACGUAUUUCUCGAGAUGUGACUUUUGAUGAGUCUUCUUUCUACCCGCGUCCAUCUUCCUUGACCCUUUCAGUGGAGGAUAUCUUUUUCCUCACUUUCCCUGACACAUCUAUCACAACUGUUGAGCCCUUGCCCAUCCGUCCUAUUGCCCUUGCUUCUCUAACUAUUGCAGAUCCGAUGUUGCCAUCUCCUAUGGUUUUCUCACCUCGCUUGUCACAGGAUUCUGCACCUUCAUCUUCGAUGACUUCUCUAUCUCCAUCAACUGAGUCCACCCUGGUGAUUCCUCCUAUUCUUCCAUCGUUUCCUUCCUUUUUAUACUCGUCGUUCAUCUGUUGUGGAUGUGUCUACUGAUGUGCCAUCUACUUCUGAUGUGUCAUCUUCCUCGUCUCAGUCUACUUAUGGCUUGGGUCCUCCUUUGCUUCCACCUGUUCAUUGCCUUGGUUUUCCAAGCGCCGCCCCUGCUGUUCUUGAGUCGACUUCUUAUCGUGAAGCUGUUGUUAACUCUGAACGGCAGUUUGCAAUGGUAGAGGAGCUUGAUGCUCUUGGGCGCACCGGCACGUGUGAUCAUGUUUCUCUUCCUCCCCGUGUCCAUCCCAUCACUUGUAAGCGGGUCUACAAGGUUAAGACUCGCUCCGAUGGUUUUCUUAAGCGUUACAAAACUCGUCUUGUGGCUUGUGGCGUUCAGCAGGAGCAUGGUCGUGAUUACGACGAGACUUUUGCUCCUGUGGCCCAUAUGACCACUGUUCACACACUUCUUGUCGUGGCCUCUAUUCGCCACUGGUUUGUCUCAGCUUGAUGUUAAGACCGCCUUUCUUAAUGGUGAGCUGUGUGAGGAGGUUUAUAUCCAGUCACCACCUGGUAUUCUAUUCCUGAUCGUCCGUCUUCAUCUCUCUCUCUCUCUAUGGCCUUAAAUAAGCCCCUGGCACCUAUUUUGAGCGUUUUGCCUACUGCCACUGGUUUUUCAGCGUGUGCUCAUGAUCCGGCGCUGUUUGUCCACUUUUCUACUCAUGGUCGGACUCUUCUUCUAUAUGUUGACACAUGAUCAUCACUGGCAACGACCGUGAGUAUAUUGCCUUUGUGAAUGCCCGUCUUAGUGAACAGUUUCUUAUGUCUGAUCAUGACUUCUAUUUCUGAUCAUUCAUUCGUGCGAGAACAAAAGCUCUAUUAGUUAGAACUUACAGCAGUAGUUCUUGUAGGUACAAUUGUCGUUAACCCUAACUUUUAAUACUGAUGCUAGCAACAUUUAUCUAAUUUUUAAUGUUGUUCAAUCUGAUUUUAGUACUUACCAGGGAGCCAUAGUAACAUACUAUCCAACUUUAACUUACUAAGAGGGAUAGUGGCAUAUUCAGGAGCCUUUUUGUGGGCAAAGUGUUUUUUUGUAUAUAAAUGAAGUAGCACAUAUUGUUUCCAUAUGUUCUUUUCCAGUCUUUUGUGAUGCCACUACCAACAAACUGUUUAUUAAAAAAUAGUAAAGCUGCCACUAACAUGCUCCCACAACGAUUUGACGUCUUCAGCCAUUCAAUCACGCUCGCUGGGGGUUCAGAUCUGCUAGUCAUCCCACUGAAUUUCAUUGUGUCGUUGGCAUUUGUAGUCUUUUUUUGUGAGCUCGCAAAACCUUUGUGAGUCGAUAUAUUGAGAAGAAAGAGUAUGGUUUACAGGAUGUGGCAGCGUAGCUAGCAUAAUAUCAAGGGGGGGGGGGGGCUGUAACCCUGUUACAGCACCGAACAACGCCCAAGUCCCCCGCGACUCUUGCUUGAGCACAGCGUGGCAGCGGCGGCUUGGUCUCAAAUACCGCUCCCAAGUCCCCUGUUUGUUUAUAGGGCCGUAGUAUGCCUGGCCAAGGUGGAAUUUAGUACGUGCUCCCCACUAUGCCCUACAAGGUUCUUCCUACUGAAUUGAAUCUUGGAAUCCACCCUGGGAAGCAACAUCCAUCUUCUGAUCUUUGUCUUGCCUCCAGUGCAAUUUCAAUUUGUCGAGUACUGCUCUCGAUAAAUUACUAGAAUGGUGAAUGAAAUACUUGGAGGUAGGCUACCAAUUUGGUAAGAAUAUAGAUGUCAUGAUCUGCCUACAACUAUUUUACUGCACUUAGAUUUGAUAAGCUAUUUUUAGGCCAUACUGCAGCCUAAACGUGCUCCUGCUUGCUGUUGCUAAACAGUUUGGGGCUGCUUGAGUGGAUGCUCACUAAAUCGUAAAAGAAGAGAAAGUGAAUAACUGAAUAUGAUGGCAGGUGUUGAACUCAGGUUUACACAUUGGCGCUCAUGAUUUGUCAAACAAACAUUAUAGCCCUCAUGGAUGCUAUUGUUUGCAAAGUUAGAAUGGAACGAUGCAAAGAGAUUCAUGAUUUAGAAGAACUUACAAGGGAGGAUCUGAACUGCUUUCAUUGGAAUUUGACGAAAUUCCCAACCACAUAGGUCACACAAAAUUUAAGCCUCCAUGGUAUUAAAAAUGCCAUAUUUGCCAGUCCUCUGUUUAGAGGUCCUUUAGUCUCAUAUUUCUUAUGUAAUUACGGUAUGACAAAAAUUAUCAUUUCAGGUUUUAUCAAACGUGUUUCUCCUUUUAACGUUAGCUUGGUCAAUGUGCAUGCUAUUCGAUUAUCCGAAGCAAAACUAAUCCUUUGCACCCCAGCGAUGGAUAAAGCCAGGUCUGUUUUCCUGGGGACAACCAAUCCUUGAGAAGGCCCAAAGAUUUGGGGGGGAGAAGCCUUGAGAGUACAUGACUUAUUUGUGAAUCUGGAUGUUACGACUGAUCAUAUCCAGUAUAGUUGUUGAACAAAUAUUCUAAGCAUCCCACCAUCAAAGCAUCCUAGCUGCAUUUUCCGUUCAUCAUUAUGAAUAAAGCACUAUAGCUGGGCUAACUGAGGCGCACUGUGACCUGCUACUUCAUUACUUAAUUAACAAGUUUCAGAUAGGUGAAUUUCUUUUUUACCAUCCUACAACAUUUCUGCGAGAGUAAGAAGGACAAUUGGUGUUUUUAUGUACGUACCAAGCUUGAUGAACGCUCACCAUGAAGCCUUCCGCAGUUCACAAGCUCACCAAGAUAGUUGUGCAGAAUUUUCAGAAUACGCUUCUCUUGCUAUUUUUGUUUGGUGGCUGAGGGAAUUGCAGAUGCAAGCCUGCAACACUCGGUGUCUGGAAAACCUAUCUUGGUCGUUACACAUCAGUUCCUGGGUUCCAGGGGACACGGGCCUUUUGUCAUACUUCCAUGUGUCAGAAGGGCCGGAUCUUGGCAUUCCUGCCCUUACUCCAGAAACAGGAACUGCGGUUAAAAUGUUUUCUGUUGAGCAUACUUGUUCAUCGUGCUGUUUCUGAACUGCUUCCGUGUCUUGGUUUCUGAAAGAAAGGCAACCCUCUGCUUGAUCUAGUUUUCUUCUGUUAGUGGUCUCCUUAACACCUGAAUAUGAAACAGUAAAGAGAUUCAGAGAAAAUAUGUCGUGAUAAGAUGUAAAUUCAUAUACGCAUUUAUCACCAUUAGACCCGUGAAGAAAUAUAUACCA